UGCGGAGGGAUCAUUACACAACAAAAUAUGAAGGCCUGGCUUUCGCGGCCGGCUGAAGUAUUUUUUUCACCCAUGUCUUUUGCGCACUUGUUGUUUCCUGGGCGGGUUCGCCCGCCACCAGGACCAAACCAUAAACCUUUUUUUCUUAUGCAGUUUCCAUCAGCGUCAGUAAAAACAAUGUAAUUAUUACAACUUUCAACAACGGAUCUCUUGGUUCUGGCAUCGAUGAAGAACGCAGCGAAAUGCGAUACGUAGUGUGAAUUGCAGAAUUCAGUGAAUCAUCGAAUCUUUGAACGCACAUUGCGCCCUUUGGUAUUCCAAAGGGCAUGCCUGUUCGAGCGUCAUUUGUACCUUCAAGCUUUGCUUGGUGUUGGGCGUUUUUUUGUCUCCCUCUUUCUGGGAGACUCGCCUUAAAACGAUUGGCAGCCGGCCUACUGGUUUCGGAGCGCAGCACAUUUUUUGCGCUUUGUAUCAGGAGAAAAGGACGGUACUCCAUCAAGACUCUACAUUUUUCACUUUUGACCUCGGAUCAGGUAGGGAUACCCCGCUGAACUUAAGCAUA
rnacentral:rRNA from 1 species